ACUGGCCUAUGACGCCAUAUGUAAUUUAUCAAAAGUGAAGUGAUUAUUUGUGCUGCUGUCAGUAAAAGUAAACCAAGGCUUAAACACUUGUUAUCCAUCCAACUCAUUAUAACUCAAGGCAUUAUGGAUUAAAUAUGUCGAUAUUUGUAGUGAUGAUAAAAAGUUUUUGAGGCAAAGGCAACAAUUUGGAUCUUUUUUAACUCACACAAAUUGAUUGUGGAAAUUUACUUGUUGAACUGCAAAUCAAUAUGAUUGGAUAUCUGGAUAUGCGAUCAGCGCCGCGAUUUGCACACUUGGGGAACAGUACUAACUGGUUCAAUUCCUCGGAGGUUCUUUCACUUUUUGGACCCCGCCACACUGUGGGAAAAUAUGUAGAAGCUGGCAAUCAAUGUCGAAAACAGUGCCGCGGGCUCUGACAAUCGGGCUCAAUUUAUGAGCACUGUCCACCAGGUUCUAUGUGGCAAGGACCGAGGGGCAAGUGCGGCAAG